CUUAGCUCAGCGGUGGAGCACUCGGCUGUUAACCGAUAGGUCGUAGGUUCGAAUCCUACAGG
rnacentral:tRNA from 3 species